rnacentral:rRNA from 1 species
AAAUUGAAGAGUUUGAUCAUGGCUCAGAUUGAACGCUGGCGGCAGGCCUAACACAUGCAAGUCGAACGGUAACAGGAAGCAGCUUGCUGCUUUGCUGACGAGUGGCGGACGGGUGAGUAAUGUCUGGGAAACUGCCUGAUGGAGGGGGAUAACUACUGGAAACGGUGGCUAAUACCGCAUAACGUCGCAAGACCAAAGAGGGGGACCUUCGGGCCUCUUGCCAUUAGAUGUGCCCAGAUGGGAUUAGCU